UACAGAGGUGGCAAGCGUUGUUCGGAUUUACUGGGCGUAAAGGGUGCGUAGGUGGUCGUUUGUGUCGGGUGUGAAAUCCCACGGCUCAACCGUGGAAUGGCAUUCGAAACUGGACGGCUAGAGUGCAGGAUGGGAGAGCGGAAUUCUUGGUGUAGCGGUGAAAUGCGUUGAUAUCAAGAAGAACACCGGUGGCGAAGGCGGCUCUCUGGAAUGCAACUGACACUGAGGCACGAAAGCUGGGGAAGCAAACAGG
rnacentral:rRNA from 1 species